CUAUCAUUAACUGAAUCCAUAGGUUAAUGAGGCGAACCGGGGGAACUGAAACAUCUAAGUACCCCGAGGAAAAGAAAUCAACCGAGAUUCCCCCAGUAGCGGCGAGCGAACGGGGAGCAGCCCAGAGUCUGAAUCAGUGUGUGUGUUAGUGGAAGCGUCUGGAAAGGCGCGCGAUACAGGGUGACAGCCCCGUACACAAAAAUGCACAU
rnacentral:rRNA from 1 species